rnacentral:rRNA from 1 species
UACGUAGGGGGCAAGCGUUGUCCGGAAUUACUGGGCGUAAAGCGCGUGUAGGCGGGACGGGUAGUCGGACGUGAAAGGCUGGGGCUCAACCCCAGAUCGCCGUUCGAAACUGCCGUUCUUGAGGGUCGAAGAGGAGAGUGGAAUUCCUGGUGUAGCGGUGAAAUGCGUAGAGAUCAGGAGGAACACCCAUGGCGAAGGCAGCUCUCUGGUCGACAUCUGACGCUGAGACGCGAAAGCGUGGGGAGCGAACGGG